GGUGCGAAUCAGAAGUUCUUUAUCAAAUUUCUCAAGAAGCAAAUUUGCAUCCUUUGCAAAAACAUGAGUUACAUUUCCAGUAAACCGGUCGUUAAAUAUAGCCCCCAUUUGCAACAAUUUCCUCUUCCAUAUCUGUAGCCGGAGGGACAUAACUCCGGUUCCGACAAAGAAGACAACCAUACCGGAAAACAUUCCAUUAGGAUCACGCG
rnacentral:misc_RNA from 1 species